UGGCGCACGGGUGCGUAACGCGUAACCAACCUACCCGAAUCUGGGGGAUAGCCCAGAGAAAUUUGGAUUAAUACCUCAUAGUAUAGCAGUUUCGCAUGAAACCACUAUUAAAGUCACAACGGUGAAAGAUGAGCAUGCGUCCCAUUAGCUAGUUGGUAAGGUAACGGCUUACCAAGGCAACGAUGGGUAGGGGUCCUGAGAGGGAGAUCCCCCACACUGGUACUGAGACACGGACCAGACUCCUACGGGAGGCAGCAGUGAGGAAUAUUGGACAAUGGGCGCAAGCCUGAUCCAGCCAUGCCGCGUGCAGGAUGACGGUCCUAUGGAUUGUAAACUGCUUUUAUACGAGAAGAAACCCUCCGACGUGUCGGAGCUUGACGGUAUCGUAAGAAUAAGGAUCGGCUAACUCCGUGCCAGCAGCCGCGGUAAUACGGAGGAUCCAAGCGUUAUCCGGAAUCAUUGGGUUUAAAGGGUCCGUAGGCGGUUUAGUAAGUCAGUGGUGGAAGCCCAUCGCUCAACGGUGGAACGGCCAUUGAUAC
rnacentral:rRNA from 1 species